GCCACCCAGGCAUCUGGGGUUUUAAAAGCUUCCCCCAGCGUUGAAAACCAGAAGGGUCCCUUAGAAAGCUUUCCUCUUCUCAAAGCCGCCUGGGGCACUCGGUUUCAUCUCUGGAGAUGACACUCGUAGGGUUCUGUGACGUUUGCCACAGGCCGCCGAGGCUCCAUUCAUUUCGGUGGGGAAAAUGAGAGAUAGAGACAGACCGAGAGCAUGAGAGACAGGCACAGGAUGCUGAAACCCGAAGGCCCCCCUCGAUCUCAACGUUUGUGGGUGUCCUCUGGGCUCACGCUGUAAAGACAGACACAACACAGUAAACAAUGGCAACUGAAUCAAAACUCUGAACU